UACGGGUUAGUGAAAAGGUAUCACAUAGGGCUCAUUACCCUAAAUUGGGGGUUCGAAUCCCUCGCCCGCAA
rnacentral:tRNA from 1 species